rnacentral:lncRNA from 1 species
AGAGUACCUGUUACAUCCUAGGUAUACGGUCUUGAUGAGAUUUAAAAUGUACAGAUGUGUCUCUAGCUCGACGUGGAUAAAAUUAGAAGUCAUAUGCAAGUAUAAGUGAACAUAUAUUUUGGAUUUUAUCUAACUCAGUUAUUAGUGAGGGAUUUGGUAAAAUAUUUAAACAAAUUCCACAUACCUAGUACCCUUUAAUGUGUGCUGCACCUUGGUGAUAUUUCUUUUAGGGUCCAUUGUGUUCUUUUAUCUUCCGAAUGUUAGUGCUUGUUCUUUUGGGAGCAUCCAUUUUAGUAUAAUUUCUGUGCCUUUGCUUUGUGCGAGAAGCCUUGGACUCUCAUCAGUACCAGUCCGAUUUAGUGUAGCGAGGACUUGGAUUCACACAUAGCUUUCUAAGACUGCAGCUUUCUGCAUGAGCUCUUGCUGCUCCACCAUGUGGUCUGGGCAGCCUUGACCUGCAAAGUGAAAAGAACAAAAGUGAAUCUCAGCAACGUUCUCAGCUCUCAGCUUUUACUCCCUCAGUGCUUUCAGACGAUUGCUUUUUCUGUUUUGUUCAGAACUUAAAAUAGUCUCAGUCUUCUUACACAUUUAUUGACUUUUUAAAAAAGCUCUCUUCUAAGUCUCAUUCACUACUUAUCCAUUCUAUUAAUUUUAAUAUUCGAAUUGUUAUUUUGCUUCAGUGUUUGUAAACCAUCCUGUCCCUCUUAGGAAUACAUAUUAGAGAAUAUGCUCCAAGCCUUUGAACUUAUUUGUUAUCACCUCUGGUUAUCCUACUGUAGAAUGUUUCUUAGGAAUUGUGACAGUUUCAUGUGUUGGAAAGGAGCAGGUUAAUUUGGCAAGAUUUUAUUUAUUGCAUAAUUAGUUCUAAGUGCUUCAGAAAGACAGAACUUACACUAGGGUUAGUUAUGUCCAGUUCGUUCUCAGCCAGAGUGGAUGUUUGUGUUAAGGCUGCUAACAAAUAGUCAACUGAGAAGUAGUGUCUUGGAGAGUCCAUAGCUGAGUUUUAAGUUCCUCCAAGUCUGUGGUAUUUCUUUUGCCUUCUGUGAGACUGACUGGGAGGCAUUCCUUGCAUGGGUGGGUGGCUGCCUUCUGUUUUUGUUUCUUGCUCUGGCCUGGCUUAGCUGCUCAGGUUUACAAUGGCAUGCGUCAGUGUAUAUGGCUUUGCUUUGUCCAUUGUACUGGGCCAUUGUCUGCUCAGCUUAAUAGCAGAUUCCAGGACUUGUGAUUGCUUUUUGAAAAGCUAGUGUGCUCUUGAGUAUGUGCCAUGCAGUGCUAGGAUGGCGUGCUCCUUAUCACUACUUAAAGUUAGUUAAUUUAUGGCGGAGCAAACAGAAACAUCAUACAUUUGUUUCUCUAGAAUUUUGAACCAUAAGCAGACUCCCUUUUCAUUCUUGGAAAGCUUGAAUAUUGAUUCUGACCCCUCUGGGUUUUAUAGAAUUUGGAGUAAACCAUUCUUAGAGAAUUUUAUUCAUUUAACAGCAACUAAGUUUGUGUAGUAGAAACUCUCAGCUGGUGGCUCAGUUUUAUGUGGAGAAAAACAAAAC